rnacentral:rRNA from 1 species
UACGUAGGGUCCGAGCGUUGUCCGGAAUUAUUGGGCGUAAAGAGCUUGUAGGCGGUUUGUCGCGUCUGCUGUGAAAUCUCAAGGCUCAACCUUGAGCUUGCAGUGGGUACGGGCAGACUAGAGUGUGGUAGGGGAGACUGGAAUUCCUGGUGUAGCGGUGAAAUGCGCAGAUAUCAGGAGGAACACCGAUGGCGAAGGCAGGUCUCUGGGCCACUACUGACGCUGAGAAGCGAAAGCAUGGGGAGCGAACAGG